GAAAAUUGGGGCCCUUUAUCAUUUUAAGCUAUAAUGCUUUCAGUUUAUGGAGAUCUCGAUAGCUUUCUUUUCGUAUUCAUGAUCUAAUUGGUUGCUGAGGACUGAGAAUGAAUGGAAGCCAAAUGAGCUAAAGAGUUAUAUUUGGUUUGAGUAGUGAAUAGAAACGAAGAGAAAUAAUAGGGUUUUUCUCAGCUUCUAUUAGUUGAUUUCUUUUGUUGUCUGAAUUCUCUUGUAUGUUGAGAUUCAAAAUUGAUCU
rnacentral:misc_RNA from 1 species